ACAAGCUUGAACAUCAACAACUCAGUUGUGCAUCGGUGUCGAUGAACAACGCAACUAUAACUCUGCCUUGCGCAUCGUACUGAGACGCUGUUUCUCCCUUCUUCGACUGCUUACGACCUACAAGGCAAGAGAGAUCUCG